rnacentral:rRNA from 1 species
UUAAAUUGAAGAGUUUGAUCAUGGCUCAGAUUGAAUGCUGGCGGCAGGCCUAACACAUGCAAGUCGAACGGUAACAGGAAACAGCUUGCUGU